rnacentral:rRNA from 1 species
GUGCCAGCAGCCGCGGUAAUACGUAGGGGGCCAGCGUUGUUCGGAAUUACUGGGUGUAAAGGGUUCGUAGGCGGUGUGGCAAGUUGGGAGUGAAAUCUCUGGGCUCAACCCAGAGACGGCUUCCAAAACUGCCGUGCUUGAGUGUGGGAGAGGCUCGUGGAAUUGCAGGUGUAGCGGUGAAAUGCGUAGAUAUCUGCAGGAACACCCGUGGCGAAAGCGGCGAGCUGGACCACUACUGACGCUGAAGAACGAAAGCUAGGGGAGCAAACAGGAUUAGAUACCCUGGUAGUCC